rnacentral:rRNA from 1 species
GACGAACGCUGGCGGCGUGCUUAACACAUGCAAGUCGAGCGGUAAGGCCCUUUCGGGGGUACACGAGCGGCGAACGGGUGAGUAACACGUGGGUGACCUGCCCUCAGCUCUGGGACAAGCCCGGGAAACUGGGUCUAAUACUGGAUAUGACUCCAUGACGCAUGUUGUGGGGUGGAAAGCCUUGUGCGGCUGGGGAUGGGCCCGCGGCCUAUCAGCUUGUUGGUGGGGUGAUGGCCUACCAAGGCGACGACGGGUAGCCGGCCUGAGAGGGCGACCGGCCACACUGGGACUGAGACACGGCCCAGACUCCUACGGGAGGCAGCAGUGGGGAAUCUUGCGCAAUGGGCGAAAGCCUGACGCAGCGACGCCGCGUGAGGGAUGACGGCCU